UGAAGUUUGUAGGCUCAUGUUAUUGAGAGAGAGAGAGAGAGCCGCAUAAGAAAAAGAAAGAAGCAUCGCUGCACAACUGGGUGGCUGAAAUCCGGUUCCUCCAACAUAGAAGCGCCGUUUGGGGUGGAAUCCGAUGGGUGAGGCCGCUUGAUGAUGGAUUUACGGCAGGGGGAAGCACCGAUAUACCCCCUCGUCGGCUAUAGAAGGCAGUACGGUUAGGGACCCAACAUGCUUUGAUAGUUGUACGCUGCAAUCAAUGUGCCUCUGAUUCUAACUCAGGUACCGUUACUCCUAUACAUUUGUGUGGAAUUUUCUUUCAUAAAUGUCAACUAGCUUCAGAAGUGAUAGUGAUGCUCCCUCAAGUGUGUAGGAACUUGGAUUUAGAGGUAGAGGGAAGGGCUUUGAAGGAAGUAAUGAAACCAACUGAUGACGGGUCUAAUUAAUCUGAAACUCCCAACAAACAAGUUCUAGCAACUCCCAACAAAGCACCAGCGACAAAGAGUAACUAAGGAAGCAAAUGAGAAACUUAUGGAGGCAUUGGUGGCUCAAAAACGGGUUGAGGAGGAUUCUUAAAUUGAGAAAGCUCCGCAGUUUUGAAUCCGGACAUGCUGGAAUUGAAGCUAUUCAAAAGAUGGAAGGUAGGAAGAGCUUUGAAGGUGUUAGGAACCAGCAUGCUUAGUAUGUGGCUUGAAAAUAAGUAACUAUUUUAGGGAAAAAUUUUGGUAUUUUUUGUAUAGGUGUGAUCUUUAUGAAUUGCAUGAAACUUGUUGUUAAUUGAAAUUCAUUUAUCUCUUUGAUCAAUGAAGAUUUGUUUCUUGAUUAA